CUACGGGCGGCUGCAGUGAGGAAUAUUGCACAAUGGGGGGAACCCUGAUGCAGCAACGCCGCGUGGAGGAUGACGCAUUUCGGUGUGUAAACUCCUUUUAUAUGUCAAGAAAAUGACGGUAGCAUAUGAAUAAGCACCGGCUAACUCCGUGCCAGCAGCCGCGGUAAUACGGAGGGUGCAAGCGUUACUCGGAAUCACUGGGCGUAAAGGACGCGUAGGCGGGUUGGAAAGUCAGGUGUGAAAUCCUACAGCUUAACUGUAGAACUGCACUUACAACUUCUAAUCUAGAGUAUGGGAGGGGGAGAUGGAAUUCGUGGUGUAGGGGUAAAAUCCGUAGAUAUCACUAGGAAUACCCAAAGCGAAGGCGAUCUCCUGGAACAUUACUGACGCUAAGGCGUGAAAGCGUGGGGAGCAAACAGGAUUAGAUACCCCGGUAGUC
rnacentral:rRNA from 1 species